rnacentral:misc_RNA from 1 species
GUGAAUCAUCGAAUCUUUGAACGCACAUUGCGCCCCCUGUCAGAGGGGGGCAUGCCUGUCUGAGCGUCGGUUAAUCCUCUAGGGAGCUCUCUUGAAGUGCGACCUGUCUUGGGCAUCGCCCGCUGGCGUAGCCUCGAUGUCAUCGGUCUUGACCGUGGAUGAGUCCCUGUAGGGCGGGCCACGGUGUGACGGUAAUCCUGAAAAUUUGACCUCAGAUCAGGUAGGGACACCGCCUGAACUUAAGCAUAUCAAUAAGCGGAGGA